rnacentral:rRNA from 1 species
UACGGGAGGCAGCAGUGGGGAAUAUUGCACAAUGGGCGCAAGCCUGAUGCAGCCAUGCCGCGUGUAUGAAAAAGGCCUUCGGGUUGUAAAGUACUUUCAGUCGUGAGGAAGGUGUUAAGGUUAAUAACCUUAGCAAUUGACGUUAGCGACAGAAGAAGCACCGGCUAACUCCGUGCCAGCAGCCGCGGUAAUACGGAGGGUGCGAGCGUUAAUCGGAAUUACUGGGCGUAAAGGGCACGCAGGCGGUUAAUUAAGUUGGAUGUGAAAUCCCCGGGCUUAACCUGGGAAUGGCAUUCAAGACUGGUUAGCUAGAGUCUUGUAGAGGGGGUAGAAUUCCAUGUGUAGCGGUGAAAUGCGUAGAGAUGUGGAGGAAUACCGGUGGCGAAGGCGGCCCCUGGACAAAGGCUGACGCUCAUGUGCGAAAGCGUGGGGAGCGAAAC